rnacentral:rRNA from 1 species
GAGUUUGAUCAUGGCUCAGAUUGAACGCUAGCGGGAUGCCUUACACAUGCAAGUCGAACGGCAGCACGGACUUCGGUCUGGUGGCGAGUGGCGAACGGGUGAGUAAUGUAUCGGAACGUGCCUAGUAGCGGGGGGAUAACUACGCGAAAGCGUAGCUAAUACCGCAUACGCCCUACGGGGAAAGCAGGGGAUCGCAAGACCUUGCACUAUUAGAGCGGCCGAUAUCGGAUUAGCUAGUUGGUGGGGUAACGGCUCACCAAGGCGACGAUCCGUAGCUGGUUUGAGAGGACGACCAGCCACACUGGGACUGAGACACGGCCCAGACUCCUACGGGAGGCAGCAGUGGGGAAUUUUGGACAAGUGGGGAAACCCCGAUCCGAGCCAUCCCGCGUGUGCGAUGAAGGCCUCGGUUGUAAG